AAGACCUUGCGCUUUUGGAGCGGCCGAUGCCUGAUUAGCUAGUUGGUGGGAUAAUGGCCUACCAAAGCUUCGAUCAGUAGCUGGUCUGAGAGGACGGCCAGCCACACUGGGACUGAGACACGGCCCAGACUCCUACGGGAGGCAGCAGUGGGGAAUUUUGGACAAUGGGCGCAAGCCUGAUCCAGCCAUGCCGCGUGAGUGAAGAAGGCCUUCGGGUUGUAAAGCUCUUUCAGCCGGGAAGAAAAGGUUGCGAUUAAUAAUCGCAAUUUAUGACGGUACCGGAAGAAGAAGCACCGGCUAACUACGUGCCAGCAGCCGCGGUAAUACGUAGGGUGCGAGCGUUAAUCGGAAUUACUGGGCGUAAAGGGUGCGCAGGCGGUUUUGUAAGUCAGAUGUGAAAUCCCCGGGCUUAACCUGGGAACU
rnacentral:rRNA from 1 species